rnacentral:rRNA from 1 species
CGUAGGGUGCGAGCGUUAAUCGGGAAUUACUGGGCGUAAAGCGUGCGCAGGCGGUUAUGCAAGACAGAUGUGAAAUCCCCGGGCUCAACCUGGGAACUGCAUUUGUGACUGCAUGGCUAGAGUACGGUAGAGGGGAUGGAAUUCCGCGUGUAGCAGUGAAAUGCGUAGAUAUGCGGAGGAACGCCGAUGGCGAAGGCAAUCCCCUGGACCUGUACUGACGCUCAUGCACGAAAGCGUGGGAGCAAACGAGGAUU